CAGGAACCUGAAACUACCUGAA
rnacentral:miRNA from 1 species